AUUGAACGCUGGCGGCAGGCUUAACACAUGCAAGUCGAGCGGAGUGAUGGUGCUUGCACUAUCACUUAGCGGCGGACGGGUGAGUAAUGCUUAGGAAUCUGCCUAUUAGUGGGGGACAACAUCUCGAAAGGGAUGCUAAUACCGCAUACGUCCUACGGGAGAAAGCAGGGGAUUACUUGUGACCUUGCGCUAAUAGAUGAGCCUAAGUCGGAUUAGCUAGUGGGUGGGGUAAAUGCCUACCAAGGCGACGAUCUGUAGCGGGUCUGGGAGGAUGAUCCGCCACACUGGGACUGAGACACGGCCCAGACUCCUACGGGAGGCAGCAGUGGGGAAUAUUGGACAAUGGGGGGAACCCUGAUCCAGCCAUGCCGCGUGUGUGAAGAAGGCCUUAUGGUUGUAAAGCACUUUAAGCGAGGAGGAGGCUCUUUUGGUUAAUACCCAAGAUGAGUGGACGUUACUCGCAGAAUAAGCACCGGCUAACUCUGUGCCAGCAGCCGCCGUAA
rnacentral:rRNA from 1 species